GAAGAAGCCACCAGAGCAUCAGAUCCUAUAAUUGUUGAACAGACUUUAGUAAAGCAGUUCGGAUCUCGUGUAACCUUUCUUGUGCAGGAACGAACCAUUGAAGCAUUAGCUAGUUUGUAUGGGAAUGCCAUACUUGCUGUCAAACUUUCAAAUUCUGAUGCAAAACGUUUACUAGUUGGUUUGAUCACUAUGGCAACCAAUGAAGC
rnacentral:misc_RNA from 1 species